UACGUAGGGUGCAAGCGUUUGUCCGGAAUUAUUGGGCGUAAAGAGCUCGUAGGCGGUUUGUUGCGUCGGCUGUGAAAUCCCGAGGCUCAACCUCGGGUCUGCAGUCGAUACGAGCAAACUAGAGUGUUGCAGGGGAGACUGGAAUUCCUGGUGUAGCGGUGAAAUGCGCAGAUAUCAGGAGGAACACCGGUGGCGAAGGCGGGUCUCUGGGCAUUAACUGACGCUGAGGAGCGAAAGCAUGGGGAGCGAACAGG
rnacentral:rRNA from 1 species